rnacentral:rRNA from 1 species
UACAGAGGGUGCAAGCGUUAAUCGGAAUUACUGGGCGUAAAGCGUGCGUAGACGGUUAUUUAAGUCAGGUGUGGAAGCCCCGGGCUCAACCUGGGAAUUGCAUUUGAGACUGAAUAGCUAGGGUGCGGAAGAGGGAAGCGGAAUUUCCGGUGUAGCGGUGAAAUGCGUAGAUAUUGGGAAGAACACCGGUGGCGAAGGCGGCUCACUGGCUCGUAUCUGACGCUCAGGCGCGACAGCGUGGGGAUCAAACAGG